rnacentral:RNase_P_RNA from 1 species
GCCGAUGGCCCACGCAAGUGGGAUCAGGUAAGGGUGAAAGGGUGCGGUAAGAGCGCACCGCGCGGCUGGUAACAGUCCGUGGCACGGUAAACUCCACCCGGAGCAAGGCCAAAUAGGGGUUCAUAAGGUACGGCCCGUACUGAACCCGGGUAGGCUGCUUGAGCCAGUGAGCGAUUGCUGGCCUAGAUGAAUGACUGUCCACGACAGAACCCGGCUUAUCGGUCAGUUUCACCU